rnacentral:rRNA from 1 species
GAUGAACGCUAGCGAUAGGCUUAACACAUGCCAGUCGAGGGGCAGCACAAGGUAGCUUGCUCUCUGGGUGGCGACCGGCGCACGGGUGCGUAACGCGUAUGCAACUUGCCCUAUACAGGAGGAUAACCCGUCGAAAGACGGACUAAUACUGCGUAUGCUCACAACUUGGCAUCAAGUGGUGAGGAAAGAAAUUCGGUAUAGGAUAGGCAUGCGUCCCAUUAGCUUGUUGGUGAGGUAACGGCUCACCAAGGCAACGAUGGGUAGGGGAACUGAGAGGUUUAUCCCCCACACUGGUACGGAGACACGGACCAGACUCCUACGGGAGGCAGCAGUGAGGAAGAUUGGUCAAUGGGCGCGAGCCUGAACCAGCCAAGUCGCGUGAAGGAUGACUGUCUUAGGGAUUGUAAACUUCUUUUAUACGGGAAUAACAAGAGUCACGUGUGACUCCCUGCAUGUACCGUAUGAAUAAGCAUCGGCUAACUCCGUG